UACUCCCGCCGGCGACCGGCGCACGGGUGAGUAACACGUAUGAAACCUGCCCGUAGCAGGGGGAUAAGCGGAAGAAAUUCCGUCUAAUACCGCGUAACAACCCGAGGAGACAUCUCCUCGGGUUUAAAGGAAGCGAUUCCGGCUACGGAUGGUCAUGCGUCGCAUUAGCUAGUUGGCGGGGUAACGGCCCACCAAGGCGACGAUGCGUAGGGGUUCUGAGAGGAAGGUCCCCCACACUGGUACUGAGACACGGACCAGACUCCUACGGGAGGCAGCAG
rnacentral:rRNA from 1 species